rnacentral:rRNA from 1 species
UACGGAGGGGGCUAGCGUUGUUCGGAAUUACUGGGCGUAAAGCGCGCGUAGGCGGAUCUGCAAGUCGGGGGUGAAAUCCCGAGGCUCAACCUCGGAACUGCCUUCGAUACUGCGGGUCUCGAGUCCGGGAGAGGUGAGUGGAAUUCCUAGUGUAGAGGUGAAAUUCGUAGAUAUUAGGAAGAACACCAGUGGCGGAAGGCGGCUCACGUGGCCCGGUAC